rnacentral:tRNA from 2 species
UCCGGCGUAGCUCAGUGGUAGAGCAUCGGACUGUUAAUCCGCUGGUCGUAGGUUCGAAUCCUACCGCCGGAG